CAGGCUUGUUCAAAGGAUGCAUAGCACUGCUCUUAAGGACAGAACAGAUAACUCUUAGUUAAUCAAGCCCUUUGAAUGAUUUCCCUAGACAACACCUCAACAAAUGUUACCAAUGGUCAUUCUUUCACCUUAGUCUCAGUUCUCCUCUCUUUGGGCUGUAGAUUUCUGAUUUCUCUGGUCAUGUGUACCGAUACAGACUCCCUUUUGGGAUAGCGAGGUAGGGUGUCAUGAGCCGCUGUUUUCAGGGUUCAGAGUAGAACUCAGGGUUGCCUGGAAUUACUCUGCUUCAGAGGAUUUAGAAGGAAGAAGAGACUCAUGGUCCAAAAGACUCUGAAGGGACUUCCUAGUAGUUCUUUGAAGAAUUAUCAUGGAACACAGUGAGCCCUCAGCAAGCACUGCUGGAGAGAGUGAGGGCACAUACUGAGUCUACAUUCCCCAAUUUCCCGGCAGAUAGGUGUGGCCAUGAGAUUGAGUCCUGACCAUUGCCGUGUGAAUAGAAAGAACGGAAGAAUGGAAGCCCCCACUCCUCCAAGGCCUGCCUAGAAAAUAAAAACUGUGUAGUCUUUUA